rnacentral:rRNA from 1 species
UACGUAGGGAGCAAGCGUUGUCCGGAAUCAUUGGGCGUAAAGCGCGCGUAGGUGGCCCCAUAAGUCCGCUGUGAAAGUCAAAGGCUCAACCUUUGAAAGCCGGUGGAUACUGUGGGACUAGAGUACGGAAGAGGCGAGUGGAAUUCCUGGUGUAGCGGUGGAAUGCGCAGAUAUCAGGAGGAACACCAAUAGCGAAGGCAGCUCGCUGGGACGCUACUGACACUGAGGCGCGAAAGCGUGGGGAGCGAACAGG